rnacentral:rRNA from 1 species
UACGAAGGGGGCUAGCGUUGUUCGGAAUCACUGGGCGUAAAGCGCACGUAGGCGGAUCUUUAAGUCAGGGGUGAAAUCCCAGAGCUCAACUCUGGAACUGCCUUUGAUACUGGGGAUCUCGAGUUCGGGAGAGGUGAGUGGAACUGCGAGUGUAGAGGUGAAAUUCGUAGAUAUUGGGAAGAACACCGGUGGCGAAGGCGGCUCACUGGCUCGUAACUGACGCUCAUGCACGACAGCGUGGGGAUCAAACAGG